AGCCAGUGAUGAGAUAGUUUAUCGUGUAAUUGUAUGAUAAAUUCAUGAUUACAUCAAUGCUACUGCCUUCCUUCUGAGGCU
rfam:Daucus carota subsp. sativus cultivar DH1 chromosome 8, whole genome shotgun sequence.